CCUCGAUAGUUAUUGUAACUAUACCGGUUUUCAAGACCGGAGCUAUCAACCACUCAGCCACCUCUC
rnacentral:tRNA from 1 species